rnacentral:rRNA from 1 species
UACGUAGGGACCAAGCGUUGUUCGGAUUUACUGGGCGUAAAGGGCGCGUAGGCGGCAUGACAAGUCACUUGUGAAAUCUCCGGGCUUAACUCGGAACGGUCAAGUGAUACUGUCGCGCUAGAGUGCGGAAGGGGCAAUCAGAAUUCUUGGUAUAGCGGUGAAAUGCGUAGAUAUCAAGAGGAAUACCUGAGGUGAAGACGGGUUGCUAGGCCGACACUGACGCUGAAGCGCGAAAGCCAGGGGAGCAAACGGG